GCCCUGGUGUAGUGGCUUGAUCUUUGGACUAGGACUCCAGGAGACCAAGGUUCAAAUCCUCCCUUGGGCA